CCCUUUCAUCCCACCAGGUCUCGCGAUAUCACGACUUCUCGCCCGUCCCGGCUAACCCCAGAGAGCAGCCCCCGCGGGACUCCUGGUGGUGACUUUCCCUGGUGGUGACUUUCUUGGCUAGUGUUUGGGACGAGAGCUCUUCAUCUGGCACGUUUUCUAGCAGCAUGGACCGGGCUGUUAAGGCGCACUUAAGUCCAUCAGGCCCGAGUGGGAAUCCAAGAAGAAGCCCAGUGGGGUUGCCUCCCAGGUGGUCAGGGCUACUCCCCAAUGCCACCCACCUCAACAUCAUGGCUAGCCUGUCUACAUGCUCACUGGCCCGUGGAUUCCUGUGCCCAUAGACUCCUGGCACACCUCUCCCUUUCUGAGAUCCUGCCAGCAUAUAUCAGCUCACCAGGACUUGACUGGAACACGUCCUUCCCCCCACAACGUGGCGUCCAGCCCCUGCCCCACCCCACCACUCACUCCUCUCUGGAGGCAGCAGGCUCUGCAGUAUUCCUGCUCCUACCUCAUUAUCCCAGCCCUGAUCCUGUAUCUCUCCAGUCUCUCCUCCCCCUGGCUCUGUGCUCCUUAAGCCUGGAAGGCACCGGAGGAAGCAGCGGAGCUGAGCAUGUGGAAGGCCUGGCUGUCGUAGGCAUGUCCAGGAGCUGCCGGGAUGCAGGCAGUUGGAGGAGAGGAAGCUGA
rnacentral:lncRNA from 1 species